GACGAACGCUGGCGGCGUGCUUAACACAUGCAAGUCGAACGGUAAGGCCCUUCGGGGUACACGAGUGGCGAACGGGUGAGUAACACGUGGGUGAUCUGCCCUGCACUUCGGGAUAAGCCUGGGAAACUGGGUCUAAUACCGGAUAGGACUCCGGACUGCAUGGUCUGGGGUGGAAAGCUUUUGCGUGGUGGGAUGGGCGCGCGGCCUAUGAGCUUGUUGGUGGGGUGAUGGCCUAGCAAGGCGACGACGGGUAGCCGGCCUGAGAGGGCGACCGGCCACACUGGGACUGAGAUACGGCCCAGACUCCUACGGGAGGCAGCAGUGGGGAAUAUUGCACAAUGGGCGCAAGCCUGAUGCAGCGACGCCGCGUGAGGGAUGACGGCCUUCGGGUUGUAAACCUCUUUCAGCAUCGACGAAGCGAAAGUGACGGUAGGUGCAGAAGAAGGACCGGCCAACUACGUGCCAGCCGCCGCAGUAA
rnacentral:rRNA from 1 species